rfam:TPA: Bos taurus chromosome 17, whole genome shotgun sequence.
CCCUUGCUGUUCUGAUGGCUAGGAUUUCUGGUUUUCAUCCAGACUAUGCAGGUUCAAUUCCUGGGCAGGGAA